UACAGAGGCCUCGAGCGUUAGGCGGAAUCAUUGGGCUUAAAGCGCGUGUAGGCGGUCCGGUAAGUCCGCUGUGAAAGUCGGGGGCUCAACCCUCGGAUGCCGGUGGAUACUGUCGGGCUUGAGUACGGAAGAGGCGAGUGGAAUUCCUGGUGUAGCGGUGAAAUGCGCAGAUAUCAGGAGGAACACCAAUUGCGAAGGCAGCUCGCUGGGACGUUACUGACGCUGAGACGCGAAAGCGUGGGGAGCAAACAGG
rnacentral:rRNA from 1 species